CCUACGGGAGGCAGCAGUGGGGAAUAUUGCACAAUGGGGGAAACCCUGAUGCAGCGACGCCGCGUGAGUGAGGAAGUAUUUCGGUAUGUAAAGCUCUAUCAGCAGGGAAGAAAAUGACGGUACCUGACUAAGAAGCCCCGGCUAACUACGUGCCAGCAGCAGCGGUAAUACGUAGGGGGCGAGCGUUAUCCGGAUUCACUGGGGGUAAAGGGAGCGUAGACGGCCGUGCAAGCCAGGAGUGAAAGCCGGGGGCCCAACCCCGGGACGGCUCUUGGAACUGUGCGGCUAGAGUGGGGGAGGGGCAGGCGGAAUGCCUGGUGUAGCGGUGAAAUGCGUAGAUAUCAGGAGGAACACCGGCGGCGAAGGCGGCCUGCUGGACCGCGACUGACGUUGAGGCUCGAAAGCGUGGGGAGCGAACAGGAUUAGAUACCCCUGUAGUC
rnacentral:rRNA from 1 species